UACGGAGGGUGCAAGCGUUAUCCGGAUUCACUGGGUUUAAAGGGUGCGUAGGCGGGCAGGUAAGUCAGUGGUGAAAUCUCCGGGCUUAACCCGGAACUGCCGUUGAUACUAUCUGUCUUGAAUAUUGUGGAGGUAAGCGGAAUAUGUCAUUGUAGCGGUGAAAUGCUUAGAUAUGACAUAGAACACCAAUUGCGAAGGCAGCUUACUACACAGUUAUUGACGCUGAGGCACGAAAGCGUGGGGAUCAAACAGG
rnacentral:rRNA from 1 species